rnacentral:rRNA from 1 species
AGACCCGAAACCCGGUGAUCUAGCCAUGGGCAGGUUGAAGGUUGGGUAACACUAACUGGAGGACCGAACCGACUAAUGUUGAAAAAUUAGCGGAUGACCUGUGGCUGGGGGUGAAAGGCCAAUCAAACCGGGAGAUAGCUGGUUCUCCCCGAAAGCUAUUUAGGUAGCGCCUCGUGAAUUCAUCUCCGGGGGUAGAGCACUGUUUCGGCUAGGGGGCCAUCCCGGCUUACCAACCCGAUGCAAACUGCGAAUACCGGAGAAUGUUAUCACGGGAGACACACGGCGGGUGCUAACGUCCGUCGUGAAGAGGGAAACAACCCAGACCGCCAGCUAAGGUCCCAAAGUCAUGGUUAAGUGGGAAACGAUGUGGGAAGGCACAGACAGCCAGGAUGUUGGCUUAGAAGCAGCCAUCAUUUAAAGAAAGCGUAAUAGCUCACUGGUCGAGUCGGCCUGCGCGGAAGAUGUAACGGGGCUAAACCAUGCACCGAAGCUGCGGCAGCGACGUUUAUGCGUUGUUGGGUAGGGGAGCGUUCUGUAAGCCUGCGAAGGUGGCCUGUGAGGGUUGCUGGAGGUAUCAGAAGUGCGAAUGCUGACAUAAGUAACGAUAAAGCGGGUGAAAAGCCCGCUCGCCGGAAGACCAAGGGUUCCUGUCCAACGUUAAUCGGGGCAGGGUGAGUCGACCCCUAAGGCGAGGCCGAAAGGCGUAGUCGAUGGGAAACGGGUUAAUAUUCCCGUACUUGGUGUUACUGCGAAGGGGGGACGGAGAAGGCUAUGUUGGCCGGGCGACGGUUGUCCCGGUUUAAGCGUGUAGGCUGGUUUUCCAGGCAAAUCCGGAAAAUCAAGGCUGAGGCGUGA